UUCGCCGCGGUGGGUGGAANGAAGCCCUUCGGGGUGUAAACACCUGUCAGUGGGGAAGAUAAUGACGGUACCCACAGAGGAAGGGACGGCUAACUACNUGCCANCAGCCGCGGUAAUACGUANGUCCCGAACGUUGCG
rnacentral:rRNA from 1 species